GACGAACCGUGCGAACGUUGUUCGGAAUCACUGGGCUUAAAGGGCGCGUAGGCGGGCGGUCAAGUCAGGGGUGAAAUCCCACGGCUCAACCGUGGAAGUGCCUUUGAUACUGGCCGUCUCGAGGGAGGUAGGGGCGUGCGGAACUUCCGGUGGAGCGGUGAAAUGCGUAGAUAUCGGAAGGAACACCGGUGGCGAAAGCGGCGCGCUGGACCUUUACUGACGCUGAGGCGCGAAAGCCAGGGGAGCAAAGCGGG
rnacentral:rRNA from 1 species